rnacentral:rRNA from 1 species
UACGUAGGGUGCGAGCAUUGUCCGGAUUUAUUGGGCGUAAAGAGCUCGUAGGCGGCUUGUCGCGUCGUCCGUGAAAACCUGCAGCUCAACUGCAGGCUUGCGGUCGAUACGGGCAGGCUCGAGUUCGGUAGGGGAGACUGGAAUUCCUGGUGUAGCGGUGAAAUGCGCAGAUAUCAGGAGGAACACCGGUGGCGAAGGUGGGUCUCUGGGCCGAUACUGACGCUGAGGAGCGAAAGCGUGGGGAGCGAACAGG